AAUGUACCAUGCUAGAUAGAACGCAAUACUGCAGACUAAAUAAAGCUUUUUGUUUUCAAACAUCAUCUCAUAUUUUUAAAACCGUUGCGACUCAUAACCAAGAUAAUACACAUUUAAUCCAAUCAGUUUAAUACGUGAAAACCAUCUAUAAUCGAAUUUCCUGGAAACAUCCGUACUAAUAUUAUUAUUAUAUCGCGAUAAAAUAAUCACUACGUAUAACAGAUAGGUAUAUAGAUACCUAUACAUUUUAAGAAAUGCAGGUAAUAGUAUUAUGUUAUCGACAUGAACGAUUUUUACUCGAUAUCGAUACCUAUUAUAUCGUUACGCCAACGAAAAUAAACACCGGGUACUGCACGACUGAGCUGUUCGCGGUCCACAUUGUGUCAAAUCGGAUGCUGCAACCACACAGUACCUACCUAUCGAGUGAAUCGUUAUGCCUAACACAAUAUACGCGAAGUUUACGCAUUAUAAUAAUAACGGUGGUAGGCUGCUGCCGGUUCGUCCCCAUCUUAC